rnacentral:lncRNA from 1 species
UGAAAGCUCUACAGUUGGAAUUGCAUCUACGUCCCAACCUAAAAGCUGAAGUGGAAAUGUAGCAGCACGAUUUCCUACAUAUCCAUGACAAACAGAAGACUAUAAUGUUGUUAGUUUCAAAGAAAAUUAUAUUUUUUCAACCUGAAUCGCUAAAAUACGCUUUGUUGUAUUCAUCCUAUAUGGUAUUGGGUUAUCCUCAAGGCGUAGAACUGGAUAAGCAUGCUUUUGUAUAAUAGAUGAUAGCGAUAUAUGAUAUUGAGCGUUGUCGAAAAACGAAUAGUUACCUGAGUUUUAAACAAAUAUAAACAGACUUAUUCUUUUAAGAAGAGAUAAAUUGACUACUGUUAUUUUCUGAAUGCUGCCUAAAACAUAUAUUGGAAUAACUUACUAAAUACUCUUCAAAUUAAGGAAAAGCAUAAGCUACAAUUUCUACCCCUACAAGUAACGAUUUUCCUUUUUUUUUACUUCCUCAAAACGGUCUUCUCGAACAGUAUGUUCUCAAAAGUUUUCCGACUUUUUAUCUCAUAAAAAAGAAAUUCAAUGUUUCUCAUGCAUGACCUUUAAAUUUCUCUUUGAAAAAUCAUGUGAAGCUUACUUAAAGAGAUGUUUCAAAUUUCUCUUUAUGAAACGAGUAUUUAUCGGAUUUAUUGGAUAUCCACUUAUGAAACACUACAGCAGAGCAAAACUUUCAAAUAAUUGUUUUAUUAUUUUAAAAGCUAUUCCAGAAAAAUUUGUUUAAUUUAAGGCGUAAAUUUCGCGCUAAUUUUCCUAGAAAUGACUGAAAGGUCGAUUUUGUUUACGUCUUUUUGCAUCAUCCUUUCAAAGCUAAGAAGUUAUCGCAAACUAUUUCUCCAUUAUAUUGGAUUUAUUUUAUUUUGGAACAUACAAACAUGAAAUUGAAUGUGAAGAAAUAUGUAUGUAGCUUCGUCUUUUAAGGGAAUUUAAUAAAAAGGAUAAUCAACUUAAUUUUUUGCGACAAAACUAAUUAUGAAGCACAUUCUUUUGAAUCAAUUUAUCCAAAAAAGUAAUAAAUUCAACAGUGACAAGAUGUAAGCAUUAUACGGAAUACAACGACUCGAAAUACAUGGAAUUGUAUAACUUAAUCACUCAUUUAAACUUUUACAGAAAUCUUCGGCUGAAAUAUACGGGGUAAAAUAGGGCUUUUAAUUGUAAAGCUUAGAGCCUGAAUAAGUAUGCUUUCCUUUAUUUUAACAUUCCUCAAUUUGUUUUCAAGUACUUCACAUACCUAGGAAGAAUGCUAAAUAAGGUACAGUGGGAAAACAACGUUGGUUGAUUGUUAGUUUGACUUGCUAAGCUCGUAACUUUGAGGAUAUGGGCUACAAUUUACGUAGAAAGGUAAUUUAUUAAGCCUAAGGAUGGUUGCUUGCUCAUUAAAAUUGUCCCAAUCCUACAUAUACGCUUUAAACUAUAUGAACCUCAUCUUUUGUCGAAAAAGAAAGUACAAAUCCUUCCUCAUAAGAAAUGUUCGGCAAUCUCUUCUUUUUCAACUUUCAGCCUAAAAUCGAUAUGACUACAGAAUUUGAAAUAGGGAAUUGCAUUUCUUACUAGUACUAUUUAAAUGUGUAAAGCUUUCUGGAUUACCAUCAGACCCUCAUUUAAAAAUGAUAUUUAUAUUAUAUGCUGAUUCUUUAGGAAACAGCAAAUGGACGACUUUCUGAAUGUGAUUUUUUUAAC